CCUACGGGAGGCUGCAGUGGGGAAUAUUGGACAAUGGGGGGAACCCUGAUCCAGCCAUGCCGCGUGUGUGAAGAAGGCCCUCGGGUUGUAAAGCACUUUCAGUGAGGAAGAACGCCUGGUGGUUAAUACCCAUCAGGAAAGACAUCACUCACAGAAGACGCACCGGCUAACUCCGUGCCAGCAGCCGCGGUAAUACGGAGGGUGCGAGCGUUAAUCGGAAUUACUGGGCGUAAAGCGCGCGUAGGUGGCUUGAUAAGCCGGUUGUGAAAGCCCCGGGCUCAACCUGGGAACGGCAUCCGGAACUGUCAAGCUAGAGUGCAGGAGAGGAAGGUAGAAUUCCCGGUGUAGCGGUGAAAUGCGUAGAGAUCGGGAGGAAUACCAGUGGCGAAGGCGGCCUUCUGGACUGACACUGACACUGAGGUGCGAAAGCGUGGGUAGCAAACAGGAUUAGAUACCCGUGUGGUC
rnacentral:rRNA from 1 species